rnacentral:lncRNA from 1 species
UUUUUUUGCAUAAAAUUUUCUUUCUCCAAAUUUAAGAAUUAUUUGGAUAUCACUCUGAUAAAUGGAACCAGUCAUGGAGAUUUAUUUAUUAGAGAAAGCAUCAAAAUACAUCUUUGUAGUAUGUUAGCUAUAUUUUCACAGGAAAUGUGGAGUAAGGAAAAUUUGCAUGCCGUAACCAUGGUAACCAAAACAUUUCAAUGAAUCAAAGUUAUGUUUUUCAACAUAUAUUAGGAGGUCCUUCAAAUUUAUGUUGAAAUUUAAAAAAUAUGCAACCAUGCAUUUCCAGCUAAUUUUGGUCAUUACAGAUAAUUGCUUUUU